rnacentral:rRNA from 1 species
AAACCAGCACCUCAAGUGGUCAGGAGGGUUAUUGGGCCUAAAGCAUCCGUAGCCGGCUAUGUUAGUUUUCGGUUAAAUCCAUGUGCUCAACACAUGGGCUGUCGAGAAUACUACAUAGCUAGGGAGUGGGAGAGGUAGACGGUACUCGGUAGGAAGGGGUAAAAUCCUUUGAUCUAUUGAUGACCACCAGUGGCGAAGGCGGUCUACCAGAACACGUCCGACGGUGAGGGAUGAAAGCUGGGGGAGCAAACCGGAUUAGAAACCCCGGUAGUCC